GCUCGUAGUUGGAUAUCUGGCUUUGCACGGACGGCCCGCCUUCGGGUUGAGUGCUGGAAGUGCUAGCCUAUUUUCUGGUUGGCGUUCUUUCCCUUUAUUGUGGCGAGUUUCGCGAUCCGGAUCGUUUACUUUGAAGAAAUUCGAGUGUUCAAAGCAGGCUUACGCCGUGAAGAUUGCAGCAUGGAAUAAUGACAUAGGACUAUCGUGUUCUAUUUUGUUGGUUCUGGGACCGUAGUAAUGAUUGAUAGGGACAGUUGGGGGUGCUGCUAUUCCGCGGCCAGAGGUGAAAUUCUCAGAUUCCCGGAAGAGCAACUUAUGCGAAAGCAUUCACCAAGGAUGUCUUCUUUAAUCAAGAACGAAAGUAGGGGGAUCGAAGACGAUCAGAUACCGUCGUAGUCUCUACCAUAAACUAUGCCGACUAGGGAUUGGUGGACGUUGUUUUAUCCGACUCCAUCAGCACCUUAUGAGAAAUCAAAGUCUUUGGGUUCCGGGGGGAGUAUGGUCGCAAGGCUGAAACUUAAAGGAAUUGACGGAAGGACACCACCAGAAGUGGAACUUGCGGCUUAAUUUGACUCAACACGGGAAAACUUUCCAGGUCCAGACAUAGUAAGGAUUGACAGAUUGAAGAUCUUUCUUGAUUCUAUGGGUGGU
rnacentral:rRNA from 1 species